rnacentral:rRNA from 1 species
AAUCAACGCUGGCGGCGUGCCUAACACAUGCAAGUCGAACGAGAAAGUGGAGCAAUCCAUGAGUAAAGUGGCGCACGGGUGAGUAACACGUGACUAACCUACCCUUGAGUGGGGGAUAACCUAGGGAAACCGUGGGCUAAUACCGCAUAAUACCUACGGGUCAAAGGAGCAAUUCGCUUUAGGAGGGGGUCGCGGCAGAUUAGUUAGUUGGCGGGGUAAGUGGCCCACCAAGACGAUGAUCGUAUCCGGCCUGAGA